GGCCCCCUGGUGCUUCCCAUGGGCUGUGUGCUUACACUGACUGUACAGAAAUCGGAGGCAGAGUAAACCCGCCCCAUAUACCCCUCAGCUCAGGCCCUGGGCCUGGUCUGUAUUAUGAAUGUGGAGACAUUG